rnacentral:tRNA from 1 species
GGGAAGUUAGUCUAAUGGUAAAACAAGGGCAUUGAUAGAUUGGAAUGUGUGCAAGCUUAAAAGAAACACUACCCUGUUUAUCGGUUCGAAUCCGAUACUUUCCA